rnacentral:ncRNA from 1 species
UUCUUCAGGGCGGGGUGCGAUUCCCCACCGGUGGUACAGCCCACGAGCCUGCGGCCUUGCCGCGGCAUGAUUUGGUGAGAUUCCAAAGCCGACAGUACAGUCUGGAUGGAAGAAGA